rnacentral:lncRNA from 1 species
GAAAUUUCUCACGAAAUUACGUACUUCCGUUCAACCUUUCCCUAAUGACGCUUUCUGAGGAAAGUUACAAUUUCUACUCGUCCACUUGGUCCUGAGUCGCGGAAGAGGCAGCAGCGCCGAUCCAGUAGUCAAGCCCCCCGGUGUGUUUAGUGACGUGUCCAACCUUAGCUUAGCUAGUAGUUUGUGCGGUCCGAUUCUGUGUGCGAAGAGGAAUUAAAAGCCGACGACGGCGUUCUGUUCUAGAGUCGGAACCAACCGCCUCCUACCAGCUCGUGCUCGCCACACCGCCACCAAAAGCCUUAGCCGCCCUGCUGACCCCGCGGUCUCAGCGAUCGAGCCCCGGAAGGCCCACUGGGAUCCGGAAGGGAGACCACACGCUACACGUGGCUCCAGGAGAGCCAUCCAUUGCGCCAGCCGUUCCUGUCCAGCCGCUGGUCCAGAUUCGCCGCAGAAGUUCACCAGACCGUAGACGUCGGUCCUCGUGGUCACGCGCCGUCCAGGUUCCAGAAGGAGGCGACCCGUCCACCAGGCCGGCCAGCCGGCCAAGCCCGAUUUCAACCAGGCCGCCCCUUAAGAUCGCGCGCCUUUCAUCUGCUCCGGAAGAAUAUCGCACCGCGCGGUGCACUAGCGACGCGUAAGCCAAUCAACGAAACCGGUCCGUGAGUACUCACCUAUAACGUAAAAACCGCAUGCGUACGCACUCGUAGACGUCGUCCGAGUUGCCAAAACACACACACACAUUUUCUAAGGCUCGUUGCCCUUUCCCGAGCCUAGUUCCGUUGGUCACCGUUACACCUGUGACCUCCGGGCUAACGUAACUAAGCCCCAGAACAAAUCCGCACACAGAUAGUUAGUAGAGAGAGAGAGAACCAAGAAGAGAAGAGGAAAUGAACACGUAGGACACUACAAACAUGUAACUUAAACCUAGGUUAAAAAUGUACAAUUAAAAACCACAUUUAGCAUGCAA